rnacentral:lncRNA from 1 species
UGUCUGUUUCUCACAGCACAAGAUGUGGCAUGAUUGCUUUCUGGCGUCUGCAGUUUGUUGUGAACUACUCUGCAGUCUGCAGCCCAGCCAGAACCGGGAGGGACACCCCACGUUUUGCCUGACGCCUUUUCCUUCCAAGGCUGGAGCUGCCUCAGUCUAGCUGCUGGCUGUCCCGCUGUGAAAAAGGGCCUUUUUUUUCCACUCUUCACAGCCACCUCAAGGUGUUGAAUGCUCCGUGUGUACACACAAGUGGUCAAAACUUGUUUUCACAGAUGUUGGUACUUAAAUU